CAAUAGCGUAUAUUAAAGUCGUUGCAGUUAAAAAGCUCGUAGUUGGAUUUGUGGCGUACGGUGUGUUCCGGGCACUUGUUGUCUGAGUAACCUGCUGUUGCCAUCCUUGGGUGGAACCUGUGGGGCAUUAGGUUGUCGUGCAGGGGAUGCCCAUCAUUUACUGUGAAAAAAUUAGAGUGUUCAAAGCAGGCUUAUGCCGUUGAAUAUAUUAGCAUGGAAUAAUGAGAUAGGACUUUUUUGCUAUUUUGUUGGUUUGCGCAAAGAGGUAAUGAUUAAUAGGGACAGUUGGGGGUAUUCGUAUUCCAUUGUCAGAGGUGAAAUUCUUGGAUUUUUGGAAGACGAACUACUGCGAAAGCAUUUACCAAGGAUGUUUUCAUUAA
rnacentral:rRNA from 1 species